AUAAAGAGUAUUAUUAUUAUUAUGUCUUGUGUGUCUCUACUUUAUUUUUGUGCAAGAAAGCAGAAAACAAGUAUGGGGGAGAUCCCUCGACAUGCCAAACACACUCUGACUACACCACUCCACGAUUCAGGUACACACUCUGCACACUUUAUGUUACAUAUAUAUAUAUAUAUAUUGGAUUAUGCAGAUUAUUGUUUCCGACAUGAUAAAAUAAAAAGAUUAAAAUAUUUCUAAUCAUGAUUAAUCUCACUCUGUGAUAUUUCCUGAAAACUUGCAAUUAUUAUAACUCAUUUUAAAACCCUGUGUUACUUAAGUCAAUAUGGAAUAUGUGAUGGUAGAGUAUGAGUUUCUUAUUCUUGAUAUCAUUGUUGCUUGGAGAAUUUAUUUCAAAAUAUUCAAAAUUCUAGCUACCAUCCUCAGUGUUUUAUAUCCCUGAUAAAACUGAAAAUAUUAAUUAUGAUUAUAAAGCUAUCUACUCUGUAUUGAAUUUGUUCAAAAUGAGUUAGACCCUUGUUGAGAGAUUUAUAAUGCUCCCAAGAUCAAGACAUUAUUUCAAAAAGAUUCACUCUUCCGAAGUAUUAUUGCAUUAGAGGCAUGGGCUAUGGAAAAAUAGAAGUAUUUUGAGGAAAUAAAAAGGAGCAAGUGCUCGACAACCUCGCAGAAAAAAUGGACAAGUGUCCGGCAGUAGAAUUAGGGGUACCUUGGUAUCCACAUAAAAAAAAGAGAGAAAAGAGAAAAAAAUGAUAGCCCAUGGUCCCUCUAAUAAGCAAUAUGCCAGUAAGAGUUGACAAAGAUUUUUAAUUUCCAAAGUCUUUGAUCUAAGAGUAUGACAUUCCCCUCCUCGGAUCCCGUUUUGAUCAGGCAAUAAAUGCAAUGUAAGUAUGCUUGAGAAUUUUUGCAAAAAUAAAACAACCUCAGUGAGAUAUAUAUAAAAGAUAAUGAGUGAUCUGAGAGAACCUAUGAGGAUAAAAAGGUAUGCUAAUUUUCUUUCAAAAAAAAUAUACAAAAACUCCAAGUGACAGGAUUGAGAAGAAAGGAUCUUUACUCUUAAUCAUAAACUUCCCUGACUAUGGUACACAGUGGAAUUUUAACACCCUGCAAAUAUAAAGAGAAUGUUUUAAAUGUUUACCCCAGGUAUUGUUCUUAACCAUCCUUUUCUCGAGGACGAGUAAAAGCCUAAGUAUGGGGGUAUUUAUUGACGGUUCUUAAGUAUCAAUUUUAAUUAUCAAAUAAACAAGAGAAAGGACCAAUAUGCAACCAACACCUAGAAUUAGGGUUUGAUCUGACAGAAUUCCACGAGUUUUGUUGUUUAUCUGUUUCUGCAGGGGGUUAUCAAGAAAUAAGGAAGAAAGGCCCACAUGUCGGGAUUACAUAGAGAUAUCAACGCACCGCGCGAUUUUCCACCAUCUAGAAGACUCCAGAAGCCACGGGAAGAAGACGGAGGCCGACAGGGGCCAGGCCCAGGGCGCCCGCCCCCUGCUGGAUGUCAAUCAGGACUCUCUUCGCACGGGAUGUUCCACCGACCUAUUGGAUCAAGAAAAACAUAGUACCACCUCACCUAUCGACCCAAAAAUGCAUAGAAGGGGAGGACUAUAUAAGGAGACCCCCC
rnacentral:lncRNA from 1 species